UUUUUUAAACACUUUAUUUUUUCCAGAUUAUUAAAAAAUAUAUAUGCUCAGCUGAAAAUUUGGAAACUAUGCAAGAAUAUAAAGAAAUCACUUAAGUUCUCACAACCCAAUGACAGCACCAUUUGGAAGCAUUUCCUUCCAGUCUUUUUUCAUUAUUACAAUUCCUUUUAUUUGGCUGGAAUUGGCUCAGUAUUAGCUUUUGCCAAAUGAACGUGGUUCUGUCCUUUGGGGAAAUGCAGAAUUAGUCUCCUUCCUCUGCCUAUAACAGGGGUGUAGAUGUGUGACAACAAUAUGCACCUCCAGAUUCUUCCCUCCUCUGGGAGAAAAUUGCAACUCCAUUUUAAAUGCCAAAGUUUUUAACAGUUAUGGUCAUUGCCAUUUAUUAAGAGCGUGCUACUUAAAAGGCACUGAACUAGUAUUUUCAUACAUUGUUUAAUCUUCACAACAGUCUUACAAAGGAGGUAUUUUCUAGCUUCAAUUUAUAGAGGAAGACACUGAGGCUCAGAGAGAAUGGGUCCCAUUUGAACUGAUGGGAAUUGAGUUCAGUGAGAUUAUCACCUCCCUUAAUCUGGCCUUUUUAUCUUUAUUAAUGCAGCCUUACUAAAACUGCCUCUUGAAUGCCAGACUUGCAAAUCACACCUUUACAUUUGUUCCUGACAAAUUUAUCUCCUUGAUUCUGGCCCACAAAGAUCUUUUUUUUUUUUCUCUUGUGAUAAUCUCUCUGAUGCAACAUGACUCAUGUAGAAUUCCUAGCAAUGAUUAAAAAAAAAAGGAAAAGAAAGCCCUCCUAGCACAUUGCCUGGCACAUAGUACUCACCCAGUACCUGGUUGCUAUUAUUAUUAUAUGAGGUGGGUGACACUGUUUGUUUGGUUACCUGGGUUUCCCUCUGUUCCCCACAAAACACACAACAAUGUGCUAAAAGUAGCAUUGUGCUAAGGAGGGGUCCAACCACCGUGGUUGGUCUCUGAGAUGGCUUCUAGAACAUCCUUCCUUUCUAGCUGUUGGCAGAAACAAGAAGCCAAGAAGAUGCUCCCUUGAAUUUGGACCCCUCUGUCCCAUGCCUGGCCCUGCCCUUCCCCUGGGGUCUCAUCAUCCCACCCGUUGGUUGAUACGCCCUCUCUGUGGGAGUAGAAGGGACAGAUGUGGACUUGAAGAUGCCCGCAUGGUCUCCCUGACCUGGGAACUUCGUGGAGGGCAGACUGUCACCGGCCCCUGAUGACACUCACCAAGGCUACUGGCCCCGUACAAGUGCCAGACAACACAGACCCUGUUCCCACCUGGACCCAGGAGAUUAUGAUUCAAGGUGGAAACAGAGAGAUGGGAGGAGCCUGAAGAAAGGGCUGAUCUCGUCUUCCUCAGAGAGCGGUGACAUCUGUGCCAUCCUGAAAGGCUGAGCAGCCUGUGGAUAGGUAGGGGGAAGGCGGUCCAAGGGGAGGGCAGCCUGGCCAGGAAUGGUGGGCAGUGGUGUUACUGGAAUGUGAGGAAGAGAGGCUGGGAGGUGAGGCCAGGUCCUGGCAGGGUCCACAUCUUGUGGGGGGCUUGGAUGCCAAGCUGAGGAGUUUAGAGGUCAUCCUGGAGGCAGCGAGGAAAAAUGGUCUUUGCAGUCAGGACAAGACUGCAGCUGGCCGAGGGGCAGCUUCCUCCCAUUGCAUCAUCCUCCCUUGAGUGUCCAUCCCCCAGAGCUGCAGAUUCUAUCACAUUCUGUGGUUUGGUUUCUGUCCACAACGCUGCACUGAACUACCCCUGCCAAGGUCCAGGACCUCUUGUUUGCUAAAUCCAUUGAUAAGUUUUCUUCCUCAUGUUCCUGCAUCUCACCAUUGCAUUUGGCCUGGUCCACCCCUGUCUCCAGGCAUUUUCUCCUCCUCUCCAGGUAGGCUCCUGGCUACCACAUCUCUUAGUUCUCCACUCAACCCAGACUUCUGUGGGCUUCCUUUCCAACAUCCUUGAGCCACAUUCCCCAGGAUCCUAGGGGACCCUUUAUGUUCUCCCCCAGAGAUCUCAAACACAGAUGUGGCUUCAAUGCCAACGGUUACCUGUGUCCAUCAGUUAGGAACUGUAUUCAGCUGCAAGUAUCAGAAACCUGAAAAACAGUGGCUUAAUCAAAUUCAAGGCUUUAUUUUUGUUACAUAAGAGGAAGUCCAGAGUUAGGCAUUUCAGGGCUGAUUUGGUGGCUUUGUGGUGCUGUUAGGGAUGGUGCUCAUUCUGUCUUCCCAUUCAACCAUGCUUAGCAUGUGCCUGUCACCCUGUAGUUGUAAUAUGCUCCCCCACCCCCCACCAAGCAUUUAGUGUGUCAUCAUUCAAGGAGAAUGAGAAGGGUAAAGAGCAAAAGACCUGCUAACUGAGUCCGUCCGCCAUUAAAGAGCUUUCCCAGAAGACCCUUCCUGUUUCUGUAUUAGUUAUUGCCACAGUAACGCUCUGUAACAACGACCCCCAAACUCAGCUGGCCAGGCUCAGCUGGGCAGCACUCCAGACUUGGGCCAGCCAGUCUUGGUCUAGGUCAGUUCCAAGUGCACUAGUUCUGGAACCCAGGCUGAACAAGCAGAGAUGAGCCGGGGAGGAUUCUUCUCAUGGUGAGUCAUCAGAGCAAGCAAGCCAAACUGCACAAGCAAACUUAAGGUUUCUGCUUAUUCCUUCUGCGAACGCUCCAAAGGAAGUCAUGGAGCUAAGUCCAGCAUCAGUGGGUGAGUACUCACCCUCCAUCCCCAGCGGCAGAGGAGAGCACAUGUUUGUGGAGUAAUAUCCACAUUCACACGGUCUCCGUCCAGUCCUGUGUCCUGUCACCCCUUCACUGAACAGGAGGCCGACAAGUGUGGGCUUUUUGGCUGGCACUUUGCCAUCCUAAACAAACUCAAGGUUUUGAUGGUGAGGAAGGAGGGAAGAACGGAAAUCUGGUAGGCACACUUUGGCAGGACUUUUUUCAAUAGCUGUGUCCCAGGAACUACCAGGUAAAAAAUAAUGAAGUUAGAGAACACACUGGCUGGCAGUGACACUAGUGACAUUUAUUAUCCUUGGGAAGCCACCAGGACACAGAGACAGGCCAUACCACAAGACUUAUGUGGCCACCGAGUCCCCUCCUCCUGUUGCAACAUUUCACAAACCUCCCUUAUUUGGUGCUGUCAUAAGUCCCACUGCACGAGGGCAUGGGAGAACAUUACCAGCAGAGGUGGGAGAAGUCAUCGACGUCAUCCCCAUUUGGAGUUGCUUGUCCUUCUGUCUCUAGUGAAGUGCUGGCCUGUGUCAUUCCCAGCACAUGCUCAUCAGCCCUGAAGGGUCCUGGCUCUGUCACAUCGUGGCCUGGCACCAAGACCUGGCUUCGAUCUCUUGCCUUUGCUGUAUCCAUAGCUCAGAUAGCUGUCAAAUAUAUUCAGGUCCUAAUAUCAUAGGGAGAGGAAGGUGCAAAGCAUCUAAGACAAGAAGAAAGAGCUAGAGCUGUAAGAUGGAAGCUGGGGCAUUGCCUGCCUAAGGGCUGCAGCGGCUGUCCCACCACCAAAUCCUGAGGAGCAAAGGAAGGAAGAGACGUUCACUAGACUGGAUGUGCUGUUCCUGAGACAGGGAGCCCAGAAUGGUUUCCAAAGCCCACGGCAUUACUCGCCCUCUUAAGCCUCUCUCUUGCCAUGUACACACUGGCAACUCGCACAUCUCCCCCCCAGCCUGGGUCUCUCCCAACCUGCUGCCCGCUGAGCACUUCCCUCCGGCUGUCCCAUCCACCCUGAAAAAACAACACAUUCUACCCUGGGCUCGUCAUCUUUUCUUUCCCCAACCUGCUAUUCUUUCUCCCCUGCUGUCCACAAAGCUGGAAAGAUGUGGUUUGUCUCCCUGACCUCUACUUCCCUUUACUCUGGCAAGAACCCCAGUAUUUCUUUGGGAUCCACCCUUGCCCUCUUAGUCUCUGUGGUCUGUAUGACUCCAGCAAAACUCAUGGAUCUAAGACAGUUAACACAGCCGUAGCGAUUGGUUCAGUGGUGAGCAUGUGACCUAAGAUGGUGAAUCUCAGAACUUUCAUGCAAAUGCUAGGACACAAGCUCUCAUUUGUUUCUGUUAGAUUUAAACCUGGAAGGAUAUAGCUCCGAGAGGUGCUGGCUGGCAGCCACCUUGUGACCAUGAGACUGGUGACCAUCUUGUGACAAUGCAGGAGGAGCUGUCAAGACCAGAGUCAGCGCAGAGUACCUGAGUUACAAGAGAUGGAGAGAGAAUAUACUGAUGAUGUGGUUUGAGUCCCUGGAUCCAGGAAUAGAACCUUAGCACACAGACGCUCAGCUUAAGACCAUAAAUCCUGGCCUGCCCUGUGUUAAGUGUGGCCCUGGGAGGUGAGGGGAGCGAUGCACUCAAAAUGCAGUCAUGCUCUUCAACGGAGAGUGUGUCUUUCCUUGCCCUCUGCCCCUGCCCUGGCUGUGGACCUGGUGGUGUGCCAUUUUGGAGCACAAGUAUGAGUACAACACCCCUGGAAUGGCAGAGCAACAAGAUGGAAGGUGUCUGGGCCUGUGAUGACUUCAAAGAGCAGCCUCCUCAGACUCAGGACGACUUUUAUAAUUUAUAACCCAAGUCUAAUUGUGAGAAAAAACACCAGGCAAAUCCCAACUGAUGACAUCCUAUAAAAUACCUAAUACUCCUCAAAACUAUCAAGGUCAUCAAAAACAAGGAAAGUCUGAGAAACAGUCACAACCAAGAGGAGAUUAAGAAGACAUGAUGACUAGAUGUAAUGUGGUAUUGUGUGUGGAAUCCUGGAACAGAAAAAGGACAGUGGAUAAAAACCAAAGAAACCUGAAUAAAGAGUAGACUUUAGUUAAGAAUAAGGUACAAAUAAUGGUUUAUUAAGUGUAGCAAGUGUACCAUACUAAUGUAAGUGUUAAUAAUAAGGGAAACUGGGUUCAGGAUACGUAAGAGCUCUCUUUACUACCUUUACAAUGUUUUCUGUAAAUCUAAAACUGUUCUAAAAUAAAAAGUUUAUUGAAAAAACUAAACUGACAAUAACAAGUGCCGACAAAGAUAUGGAACAACUGGAACUCUCAUCCAUUGCUGGUAGGGAUGUAAAAAUUGCAUCGUUUGGAAAACAGUUUGGAAGUUUCUUAUAAAGUUAAACCUCUACUUAUGGUAUAACUCAGCAAUAUCACUCCUGGGUAUUUAACCAAGAGAACUAAAAACAUAUGUCCUCACAAAGACUUGCAUGUGACUGUUUAUAGAGGCUUUAUUCAGAAUUACCACAAACUAGAAGUGACCAAAAUGUCUAUCAACUGCUGAAUGGAGAAAUAAAUUGUACACAUCCAUACAAUAGAAUACAACUAAGUAAUGAAAAAGGAAAGGGCUACUGAUACAUACAAAACAUGAAUGAAAAUCAAAAGCAUUAUGCAAGUGAAAGAAGUCAGUUCAUAAAAGAGUACUAUAUCAUUCAAUGUAUUCAAUGUAUGCAAUUCCAGAACAAGAAAAACUAAUCUAAGGUAGAAAAAAAUCAGAACAAUGUUUGCAUCUUGAGCUCUGGGGAGUGGUUAGGAAGGGGCAGCUGGGAACUCUCUGAGGUGAUAGAAAUGUUCCGUAUCUUGAUAGAGGUGUAAGUCACAUGGGUAUACACAUUUGUCAAAACAC